UGAAUGGGGAAACCCACUUACAUAAGUAAGUAUCGUUAUGUGAAUACAUAGCAUAACGAGGCGAACCGGGGGAACUGAAACAUCUAAGUACCCCGAGGAAAAGAAAUCAACCGAGAUUCCGAAAGUAGCGGCGAGCGAAAUUGGACUAGCCCUUAAGCUUUACACGCGUUAGACGAACAGCCUGGAAAGGCCGACGAUACAGGGUGAUAGUCCCGUAGUUGACGACGUGUGUUCAGUGAAAUCGAGUAGGGCGGGACACGUGAUAUCCUGUCGAAA
rnacentral:rRNA from 1 species